GCGAGACACGUGACCUGCCGACCGAGCGCGACCGAUAAACUGAUGACGGACCACGCCGGGCGCAGCCUCCGGCCGGUCCGCCAAUGAACAGCCAGCAGCCGCUGCAACCACAGGGAG
rnacentral:sRNA from 1 species